rnacentral:tRNA from 1 species
GGCGGCAUAGCCAAGUGGUAAGGCAGAGGAUUGCAAAUCCUUCAUCCCCUGGUUCGACUCCGGGUGCCGCCUUCA